GCGCCCGUAGCUCAGGUGGAUAGAGCGUCUGCCUUCUAAGCAGAGGGUCGGGGGUUCGAUUCCCUCCGGGCGCGCCA
rnacentral:tRNA from 1 species